GUGCUCGCUUCAGCAGCGCAUAUACUAAAAUUGGAAUGAUACAGAGAAGAUUAGCAUGGCCCCUGCACAAGGAUGAUACGUAAAUUUGUGAAGUGUUCCAUAUUUCA
rnacentral:snRNA from 1 species